rnacentral:misc_RNA from 1 species
ACAAAUCGGUUAUAGGACGCGAGUCCUAUAUACACCCCAAAGGCCUAACACAGCAGGAGAUCACAGUUGUGGUGGAAUGCUGGGGGGGCCUUUUGGUUGCAGUCCGCGAGGGCUGUAGGCACGGGUCUGCUUUGCGGCGGCCUAGCCACAUAGACGCUUGUAUGUUUGACAGAGUAUAGUUGGAUUUAAAAAAUA